GAUGAAGAACGUAGUGAAAUGCGAUAAGUAGUGUGAAUUGCAGAAUUCAGUGAAUCAUCGAAUCUUUGAACGCACAUUGCGCCCCUUGGUAUUCCAUGGGGCAUGCCUGUUCGAGCGUCAUUAAAACUACUCAAGCUAAGGUUUUUUUUACCUUCUGCUUGGUCUUGGGUUUGAGGAUUCAAAAUCCUCUCUCCGAAAUCCAGUGGCGAAUUGUUUGAGCUGUAGACGUAGUAAAUCAUUCUACCCGUUGCAAGCGAGAAUAAUAUUCAGCCAUAACCCCCAUACUUUUCUAGUUUGACCUCGGAUCAGGUAGGGAUACCCGCUGAACUUAAGCAUAUCAAUAAGCGGAGGA
rnacentral:misc_RNA from 1 species